rnacentral:miRNA from 2 species
AAUUGCACUGUAGCAAUGGUGA